CACACCAGGAAAACAUCUGGGUACUUCAGGAGGAAACAGGAGGACUUUGAGGAGUGACCCCAGUGCCCCGAGGGUGGGGUCCACCCUUGCCCAUUUCCAGGAGGCAGUCCUAAACAAAACAUGAACUCAUCUACUUCCUUAUUCACCCGUCACACCACCAACGUGAUUCAUCUCAUUUCUCCAGCAUCCACUGACUAAAAAGCAUUAAGUCCUGCAGAGCAGGUCACUACCAACCAAGAUGAUAAAUGACUGUGACCAGAAGGGGAUGUCCUCUCAUCACCGGAUGUUUCUACUGUCCAUGGCGGGAGUAAUCAGGGCCAAUGAGACUCCUGAGAGGUGAGACUGUGCUGUUCGGGGUGAGGCUGGGCCCCUCGUGUCUAUUUGGGGACUCGCUAUCUUCACUGCCGAGUAAGCAGGGGGCAUCUCAGGUGUGAUCCCACCUCAGACUUGCCAGUCAUUCCUUUACCAUCUCCGCUGAAGGAUGAGGAAACUGAAAGAGAGGCCAAGUUCAAGGUCACAGAGCCAGCAAGUGACCAGGCGACACUGGACGAAAAACCUGUCUUCUGAUACUGGCUGGCCCCACAACCAGCCCCUGUGGAUGGGAGGAGGGUGCUCCAGGGACACCCGGGCCAGUGACGCAGACCCAUGUCUGAGGUCGAUCAGCCGGGCCUGGGUAGCCAUCCAACAUCCUGUCCCCAGCUGGUGGACGCAGGAAGAUGUACUGUAAACCAGGUGCUGAGAAGGCUCUGUGCCCACUGACCACACUUCCCAAAUCAACAGUCUCCACCAGGGGCUGCCGCUGCAGACAGUGGAGCCAAGUGUUGGAAGCCAGGACUAAGCCAAAUCCUGGGUCCCGCCAUCACUGGGCAUGACUCUCCCUCCCUUCACUCCCCCUCUCCACCAAGGGUGGGCCUGGCCAAAAUA